rnacentral:rRNA from 1 species
ACUCAAAUGAAUAGACGGGGAGGCGCACAAGCAGUGGAGCGUGUUGUUUAAUUCGUGACAAAGCGAAAAACCUCACCAGGACUUGACAUGUAUCUGCAAGGACCAGGAAACUGGACCCGCUUUCGAAGGUGAUACACAGAUGCUGCAUGGUCGUCGUCAGCUCGUGGCGUGAGCUGUACCGUUCAGUCGGGAAACGAGCGCAACCCGCACCGUAUGUUAAAUAUUCAUGCGGAACAGCCCCAUUUAUAUGGGGAGGAAGGCGCGGAUGAUGUCAGAUCAGCACGGCUCUUACGUCCUGGGCUACAAACACCCUACAAUGGCGAAAAACAACGAGUUGCUAAUCCGCGAGGAGGAGCUAAUCUCUGAAAUUUCGUCCCAGUUCGGAUCGGAGUCUGCAAUUCGACUCCGUGAAGUUGGAAUUGCUAGUAAUCGCAAAUCAGCAGGUUGCGGUGAAUACGUUCUCGCCUCUUGUACACACCGCCCGU